rnacentral:lncRNA from 1 species
AAGAAGGCAUUUCAAGGGAUAUAUCUACAUUUGUAGACGGAUAUACUUUAGUUCAUAUCGGAAAUUUUAGAGAGGUGGAUCACAUUGUAGGAUAUGAAGUUUAUGUAAUUGGUAUUUAGGGGUGGAAUAAAUUGCAGAUACUCCUUUUGUUUAAAUUUUGGUUUUUAUGUAAUUUUCGUUUGAUGCUGCAAUUUUUUUAUAUUUCUUGAUAAUGUGUAUCUGGGUGAUGAUGAAAUAACAGUUUUGUGAAUGUUUGGCCAGUGUUUUAACUGUACAGCAGCACACUUUUUCUAGAAAAUGAAUUCAGCUCAAUAAUCUUACUCAACCAUUAAAUGUAUACUUAUUCAAAGUUUACCCUCAUGUUACAAACGUUUUAACAGGGCAUGUCUCAACAACCAUCAAUACGGAAUGCAACACCAAAAGACUUACAGGGAUAUAAAUGGAGCUUUCGCCAUAUAACUCAAGGUAUUUUUAAAAUUAGCACUUUUAAUCAUCUAUCUGUGAAACCAACUUUACUCUCAUUGUUAAUAUUUGUUAUACAACCACAAAUUAAAUACAUACGUCCCGUUGUUGUGAAACUAAAAAAAUGCAAUUCCAAUGGUAACCAAUCAUAUGUAAUAGUAUUUAUAUUUGUCAAAACCUAUAAAUAAUAUUUUGGACAUUUUAUUGAUCUUACGAUCCUUGCUGCAAAGCGUUUACAAUUGUACUCUAUUUUAGUCUCCGGCAGCCGAAUUGGGAUCGGUCUGAAAGAGCUAUGUGUGUUUACCGUUUUUAAGGUAAGGUAUUCAUGGAUCUCAACUUUUAAUUUGUUUCUCAAUUUUCUUUUUUAGUUUUGGAUUUGUAAAAGCCCUCUAUUGAAUUGAAUACUGGUAUGAUCCCUUACAGGAGAAAAAAGCUUCAUUUUUUUCUUAAUAUUUUAGUUUUUGUAUUACUAAUUAGCUACAGAAGUUAUAUAUUCUUAUGAGUACAGUAUGGAUGCAGGUUUGCUGUAUUGCUUUUUGGGAUAAGAUUACUCUAAAUACAAAGGAAAAAUUGAAUUGAUAUUAUUGGUUUGUAUGCAGAAAUCUCAAUUACCCAGAAAUCUGAAGUGGUAAAGAAAGGUACUCAUCUCUUUCUCUUUGACUUUUGCUUCGUUUUUACCUCUUUUUCCAUUUUUGGGUAACAUUUUCUGCUUCAUAGUUGGCUUUAAUAUGAAGUUUUUUGAAGCUAUUGAAACCCAUUUGGUUCUGUUUGAUUGAUUCUCUAUUUAGGAUUUUUUCUGCUUUGCUUGGUGGGUUCAAGUUCAUUUUAUUAGAUUCGAUUUUAUUCCAAUGAGUUGCACAUAUAUAAUUUGGAUUUGAUUCCUUUGCUUCAUAGACAAUUUUUGAAAUUCUUUUUCUAUUUCUCUCCUAAUUUUAGUCAACCAGGCGAAAUGAAAACAGACCCAUUAGAUUAAGGAGGUUCAACGCUACUCAUUGUCCUUAUUGUAGAUAGGGUUGUAAGUAGAUUUUCCACAUGUAUAUAAAUAGUAAAGUUUAUCAUAUAUAGAUUUAAAAAUUUUCUAUAUAUUUUGUAUAGUUUCAAUACCUGCAGCAUCGUGCAGACACUCUUGCUAGUCACUACUAUAUUGUAGAACUCGGAAAAACGUACUUGAUUUUAUCCCCUCCCUUUUUCCGGUUGAAGUUUUUCAUUGUCGCCAUUUGCAAAGGAUAGAUACAGGUUCCAAACUGAAGUCCGAUAGUACUACACAACACACGAGAUGGGGUCCGAACCUUAAUUCGAAACAACACGAAUAUAACAAAUCAAAUCGCAUAUUGCAGUAUAUAACAAUUACUCUUCUAAAUUUGGAGAGGGGUGGUACGCUUGGCUAUAAGUGCAAUUGAGGGGAGAAUUUGGUUUUAGUUACGAAAUUACCAUUUUUUAAUGCAGAUAUGAGCUAUGGUGUGGAUUUGUGGGUUUGGGGCUACAUGAGUUAUGGUGUGAAUUUGUGGGUUUGGUCUGUCGCGUCCCUUUCCUCAACUAUAGUAAUACUUUUACAAAUUUAGGCUCAUACUAAGUCUGGUUCAAUUAAUUAUGACUCAUUUAAACAUGUCUGUUUUUUAUUUAAGGAAAACUAAUGAAAAUGGCUUGAAAACUUUGAGUUUUAAUGAUAAGGACAAAAUAAAGGGUAAAGUGAAUAGUACCAGGAUUGACUUUUUAGUGUAAAAAUGUGGUUUUUCGUUAUAGUGAACAGUACCGGAUGCUUUUCGUUAAAGUUCCCUUUUAUUUAUGGUCAAUGGUUUCAUUGGUACUGGCAAGUUCAUUUUCAUAUUAUGGCAAUGAUUUAAAGCAAUAUUAAAAACAUAGUGGGUUGAAUGCCAUUUACUUGUAUUAUUGUUGAAAAUAAACGUAUUUCUUUUUUCAUAUUGCUUUAAUUUCAUUUUGAUGAAAGAAUAAACAAGAUUUAUUUUUUUUUAAUUUUUUUUCUUGCACAAAUAUAUAGUAUUAAAACUUUUAGUAUAUUUCUUUAUUUACAUGACAAAUUUUCGACCCACCACAGCACGCUUCAUGAAUACUUGUGAUAUCCAAAGCGCACGGUUCAUGGACUGCUUUUAUUGACUAGCAAAUAUUUAUUGCAACGCAUACUACUUAAGUACCACAGGCAAAUUAAAGGGUCAUAUAUCUAAUUCUGUACUUCUGCCUCUGCAGCGCCAGCUACUAGUUUUCCGUGAUGGCCGUGCCCAUGCUCGUGCUCCCAAUGUCCGUGGCCAUGCUCUCCAUGUCCAUAGCCUCCAUAUCCGUAGCCUCCGUGUCCAUAGCCUCCAUGUCCAUGAUUUCCAUGUUUGUGCUCAUAGCCAUGGCCAUGUUCCCAAUGUCCAUAGCCAUGCUCAUGCCCUCCAUGUCCGUGCCCAUAUCCACGUUUAUGCUCGUAUCCGUGAUAAUGGUCACCAUAGGUAGUCUUUUCAACGCUCUCCUCUUGAAAAAGAAAGCAAUUAAGUUGGAUAUCAAAAACUGAAAAUUAAGCCUUGUAAGUGCAGAGCAGUAACCACCAAUGCAUGCAAAGUGACUAACCAUCCGGAUGUUCCCAAGUUACUCGUUUUGCCAAAAAAAAAUGUUUAAGUUCGAGAAGAACACAGGUGGGAAACUAAAUCAAAAUUCGUAGCAUGCAUGUUAAAACCUGCGAUGAUUUGUGCAUGAUGAAUAAAAUGUGCCUAGCAAAAUUACAAAUGCGUAAUCGAAUAAAAGAAACAAGAAUUAAUUUUAAGUGAGAAACCGAGAAACUCACGGGUUUGAGUAGGAGCAGUCUCAGUCAGCUCCCGAGCGGAAACCUCAGAGAAGAAAAGGAGAACAGCAAAGACAAGACCUAGUAGAAGAAAAGUUUUUGAGGACGCCAUGUUUGCUUGUAAUUAACAAAACGAGGUGAUGGGAUAGAAUUAUGAAGGUAAGAGAUGAUCGCAGAGUGAAGUGAAUAUCAUGUGGUUUGGCUUUCUUGAUUUAUAGACCUUCAAAGUUAAAAGAAGGAGAGGGAAGAUCUUUGGACAGCCACAUUUUUUUUCACAGUAGAGUGGUAAACGAAAACUAUUUUUACCUAAUACAUAUCAAAUUCCCUCGAGUAGUUUGAACUCUAUCAAAGCAUGCUUUGUUUGGUUUGAUGAUAUGUUGAUACCACCAGUGGCGAAGCCAGGAUUUAUCGGGGGGAGGGGCGAACUUCUGGCAAUUUGUUAACCCAAUCUCAAUGAAGACAUCACUUCCGGCAUUUCCCUCUUUAUCAAAAUCACACUUGAAUGGAUAGCAAUAACGGUAAAAUGCGGUAUCUUUUACUAUACUAUACUCCAACCACUUAAAAUUAUCAAACCAACGGGGUGACAAAACAUCGAUUAUUACUAACUUUUAUGGGCAUGAUGUGAUCUUUAGGUUGACAAGGAUUGUUUUGGAGAUAAUGUCGGCGAAUUGCUUCACGAUAAUUAGGUGGAUAAUCAAGCAUUCAACGUCUAUGUUCAGGGUCUACAUGAAGAUUAGCCAGUAUUUCAUCCAACUCAGUGACCUCACUUUGUUGGGAAUUAUCCGGAAUACUCGAAGAAGAAAUAUUUGGAAUAUUCGAAGGAGGACUACUCGGAAUAUUCGAAGAAGGACUAGCCGGAAUAUUUGAAGGAGGAUUUAAGCAUUGUUUCUUAUAGUAUCGUUCCAUUGUUUAACUGUAUAUGAAAAAGAAAAAAAAAUCUUAGACUCUUAAUUCUAGAGUAAGCUAUACUAUAGUCAAUAUGAGUGCUAACUAAUUAAACCAACAAUUCAAUUAAUCAAUACCAAUAUUCAUAUAAAUUAUUUAAUACACAAAAAUUCAAUUAAUAGAUUAAUAUCAAUAAUCAAGAAUUCAAUUUUUACUCUAGACAAUAAUUUCAUUCAUUAAUAAUCAUUCAUAGGAUUCAUAUUUAUAUGCAAAAAUAAAAAAUCAAUAACUAUAUUAGUGUAUUACUCUAUGAUUCUAUAUUAAUUAACUGAAAUUUUGUAUUAAUUAAUCAAUUAGGAUUAGGGAUAAUAUAAAUUAGAAAGUUAAAAAAUUUACCUAAAAUUGAGAAAACCAACCCAUCAGGUUGGCUGCUGUGCUGGAGGUUUUCAAAAGGGUAAAUUACAUAGUAGCCCCUCAGGUUUGAGCUCUAUUGCAAUCUUAUACAACAUCUUUAAAACAUUUCACUUUCAUACCUCAAGUACUAUUUUAUUUCAAUUUUAUACAACCGUUAGAUUUUCCAUCCAUGGAUCUGUUAAAUGCUGACGUGGCUGCCAAAUGUCUGCCACGUGGCAAAUAAAAAUAAAUUUUUAAUUUUUUUUAAAAAACCUGAAAUUGGAAGAAAAAAAAAAUAAAAGAAAGGGACCAAACCCAGAAGAAGGAGGAAGAAGAAGAAGAGAAGAAGAAAGAGGAGGGAGGAGAAAGAAGAAGAAGAAGAAGAAAAAAAAAAAAAAGAAAAAAGAAAGGGGUCCGAACCCAGAAGAAGGAGGAAGAAGAAGAAAGAGGAGGAGGAGGAGGAGGAAGAAGAAGAAGAAGAAGAAGAAGAAGAAGAAAAAAAAAAAGGGACCGAACCCAGAAAAAGGAGGAAGAAGAAGAAGAGAAGAAGAAAGAGGAGGAGGAGGGAGAAGAAGAAGAAGAAAAAAAAAAAAAAAAAAAAAAAAAGGUCCGAACCCAGAAGAAAGAGAAGAAGAAGAAGAAGAAAGAGAAAGAGAAGAAGAAGAAAGAGAAAAAAAAAAGUGGCAGAUAUGUUUUUUUAAAAAAAAAAUUAAAAAAUUAUUUUAUUUGCCACAUGGCAGACAUUUUGCAGCCACGUGUCAUAUAUGUGGCAGCCACGUCAGCAUUUAACAGAUCCAUGGAUGGAAAAUUUAACGGUUGUAUGAAAGUGAAAUAAAAUAGUACUUGAGGUAUGAAAGUGAAAUGUUUUAAAGAUGUUGUAUAAGAUUGCAAUAGAGCUCAAACCUGAUGGGCUACUAUGUAAUUUACCCUUUUCAAAAAGUGGGGUGGUUUUCAAAAAGUGAAGGUCUACUUUGAAAAAUGGAAGGCACGGGGACAGUGGUCUCCUUUAAUUUUUUUUUUUUUUAAGCAAUUAACGAAACGGCGUCGUUUGUUUAAGGAUUUUUCCUUUUUUUUUCAAUACUAAAUGAAACGGCAUGCCGUUUCAUUUAAGGGAUUUAAAAAAAAAUUACAUAAGUUGCUGCUUGAUGUGAAAAUUACUUGACACACAAAUUAAACCCUAUUGAUGACAAUUGUAGUAAUGAUGUAAGUAGGGAUCGUUCUAGACUGGGGAUUAACUAGGGAUGCUAAUCAACAAAUAUAAGACUCAAAAACACUAAACUAGACUCUAUAAACUCAAAACUAACUUAAAACACUCAAAACAGCAAAUAACAAUAAAAAAGAUUCAAUUCUAGACCUAACAAGUGAUUUGGACGAAAAUAUAACUUUAAAAGACUCAAAAGAUUUAAAGGAAACAAGUUUUGACUCUAAAAGCAAGACUUAAAAGCAAGGGGUUUUGUUUUGACGAAAAUUGAACUUUAAAACUUUAAACUUUGAAAAUAAACUUAAAACAAAACAGAUUGUGAUGAAAUAGAAUGAUGAGAAACUAGUUAGAGGGUUCCUUAUCCACACAUGAACAUAUGCAUAUAAUUUGAUUCCCAGUUAUGACUUCAACAAACGAUGAAUGACAAUGUUCCAAGUUAAUUAGGUCCGCUUAAAUUAACUCUUAGAUUUCCCUAGAUUCAUUGGAUUGAAUGGAAUACGCAUUACAACCAAAUUAUUCCUCAUCAAAGUCCCUAACUAUGGAAUACGCAUGAUAGAGACAUUCAACAAAGAUCAUUAAGGUCAACGGAAAUCAUAAACAUUGACUAGGCAUUCAUAACUAUGGAAUACGCAUGUUAAUCCAGCCUAGGGUUUACUUAAACACAAUCGUGACUAGCGAUCUUUACUACUCAUGAAUAUAAGUUCAUAACGAUUAGGUGAAAUUCCCUUAUAUCCUAGCAUCAAGUUUAGGCAUGCAAAUUAAGUGUCGACCCUCAACGCACAUACAUAAACAAGUUCUUAAUCAAAACAGAAAAGUAAACCACAUCUAAAGUUCAUGAAUUCAUAACUGGAGUAAAACAAAUCAUAACCAACAUAUGUCCAUGGCUUCAAAUUUGCCUCUAACUAAAAAGAAAUUAGUUCCACAUGUUUAACAUAAUUGAACAGCAAGUUAAAUUAAACAUGAACAUAGAAUUAAAAGAAGAAAGAAUUCCAAACACUCUAAUAGUUGCAGAUUGCAUAAGCACGGCACUACUCCUCCUCUCCUUCAAUGGUGGCGGCACAAGGUGGUUAUGGUGGUUGAAUGGUUGGUUAUAUGGAGGAAUGGAUGGGGAAGGUUUAGAUAUGUAGGGAGAGGCAAGGGAAGGCUUGGAGAAUGGUUAAUUUCUGGAUGAUUUGAAUGAGGUUGCUGCCAUGGUAUUUAUAGGAAAAGGGUGGACUUGUUUAACACAAAAUUCUGGUGGAAUUGAGUAGGUGAGCACGGCAAAGAGUGGGAAUUGUUGGUGGGUUAGGUAUUGAGUCAUCCAUUCACAUGUCAUGGUGAGUUAAGCAUUGCAUCAUCCACUCACAUGUCAUGGUGAUUUAAGCAUUGCAUCAUCACUCAAAUUUCUGGUGAAAGUGAAUCAAUGCCCACGGCAUUGAAGAAUUUCUUGGUUUUGAGUGAAGUUUUGGUCAAUCCUUCUAGAAAUUUAUCCCUUCUUGCAACUUGUAUUUGUUUCACCAGAUUUUUAGCAUGUUCAUAGCCUCUUUUGUCUUCAAAUUCGUCCAUCCUCAUGCCUCCAUGCUUGCACAAUCCAAUCUUGGCCCAAAAAUGCUCUAGAAUGUUCCAAAUUGCUUCUUUUUGCAUACUUUGACACUAAAACCUGAAAUUGCACGAAAAUAACUUUAAACACUAUAAUUAUCAUAGUUUAGCUAAUUAAAAGCAAGAAAACAAGCUAACUAAGUCGUAUAAAUAUGCUCCUAUCACUGCUGUGCAGCAACAGAAACCCAGAAACCGAUCUGCAGAUUACAGUGCAGCCAUUCAUUCCGACGAGACCAGAGGGGCGGAACCAUGUUCAUGGGCUUAAUUUCCAGCAAGGGGAGGGGCGGCCGCCCCUCCCAAUCCCUCUGUAGCUUUGCCACUGGAUACCACUACGUAUUAAGUAAGAAAUGAGCCAUCUAACCUAGCUAGUAGGUCAUCAAAAUUUGUUUCUACGCAAUAUGUGGCAAUGUGGUCAUAGUUGUAGAUGGCUUUUGCUAAUUAUGUAAAAAAUGUAACAAGCACCAUUAACUAAAUCAAACAGAAAUUGGUUUUCAGUUGUGAUUCCUUAGAAUAAUAAAUUGAUAUUGUAAAUGAUCAACAACUAAGUCAAAAUAAGUAGUUUGUCAUGAUUAAUAGUAUAAGAUGGCAUUUCAAGGGAUAUAUCUACAUUUGUAGGCGGAUAUACUUUAGUUCAUAUCUGAAUCCAUUUACAAUUACACUACCAGAUCCUGCCCGUAUUCGGCUUGUUAGAUUUGACUUGAUCCAUAUGAAAUAAGCGUCAGAUUUGGAUCAAAUCUAACUUAAGACCAAUUUUUUUUUUAAAACAUCAUCCUUAACGACUUCAUUCUUCAUUCUUAAUUUCAUGGUGUAUACUAAUUUAUGGUGGAAUACAUAUGAACAAUGCUCAAACUUCAAGUCAAGAUUCUACAUUUCAAAUUCUGCCUUCAAGUGCAAGGUGGUUUUACAAAGCUAUUUUAGAGUCCAAUUGAGAUUCGUGUCAAUGAUACGGAAUUCAACCCUAGCAACACUAGAAUAUGACUUCUUAAAGAGUGUACCAGCAAUCGUGUCAAUUUUUUGUGUUUGAAUACUUGACUUUGUAAUGGAAUGUAGCAAGAGUAGAUGCUAUGUAUCACCAACGCAUAUGCGUUGCGUUACAAUUCAAAUCAUGACACUAAGCAAUGUUAACAAUAUGGUAAUGUUACACUACUACAAUAUUAGCUUUAGAUGUCGGAUGAUGGUGGUGGUUUAAUAAGCCAUUAUGUCAGAUAAAAGAUAUCCGACACAUCAUUCAGUUAGUGUCGGAUAACAAUGAAAUCAUGUCGGUUAUAUCCGACAUAAAUUUCUAGCGGAUAUUUAGUGUUGGAUGCAACCGCCAUAAAAUUAUUAUAACCUCCAGUAUUUUUGAAUUCUUAUUUUUUUAAAUAUUUUUAACAUAUUCUGGCAGUUAAUGGUGGCAAUUAUAACCGACAAAAAUUGACUAUUUUAUUAUUUUAGUUUCUGGCGGUUAUUAUUUUAGUUUUCUGGCGGUUAUAAACGACAUAAAUUGACUAUUUUAUUAUUUAAAAAUGUUAUAUUGAUUAAAAAUAAAUAAAUAAACACAUGGUUUAAAUAUAUUUUUUUCACUCGUGGCCCUGUCGGAUAUAACCGACACGAACAAAGAAAAAUUUUGGGCGGCCGCCAGAAUAAUCUCUUAAUGUUUUUUUUUCACUCAUGAUCCCGUUACCUAAUCUCUGAAUGUUUUUUUUUUGUUUUUUUUUUGCGAUUUUUUACACAUGCUAUCUCAAAGUAUAUACAAACACAUUUGACUAUUGGAUCGUUGAAACUAGUUUCGUAGAAUGCAUAUCUUAUCAAAUUGAUAGAUUUAACAAACACUUAGAGUUAAUGUUAUACUUCCAUUAAGUAUAAUUGAAGAUUGAAUUCAUUCAUUGCAUUCUUAUAGGGUCGAAGAGUGUAGCUGUAAAAAAUCAUCAAAAUCGGAGCUAAAAUAACCGUUAAAUUGUGAUUUUUCGUUUAUAACCAUUGAAAACUUUUGUUCUGUUACCUAAUCUCUGAAUGUUUAUUUUUUGCGAUUUUUUAUGUAUGCGAUCUCAGAAUGUAUACAAACAAGUUUGACGGUUGGAUCGUUGAAAAACGUUUCGUAGAAUGCAUAUCGCAUCAAAAUGGUAGAUUAAACAAAAACUUAGAGUUAAUGUUAUACUUCCCCAUCAAGUAUAAAAUAAAAUUUUGUGGUAUUCACUAGUGUAAAUAUUUUAAAUUGAAGAUCGAAUUCAUUCAAUGCAUUCUUAUAGGAGUGUAGCUAUAAAAAAUCAUCAAAAUGGAGUUAAAAUAACCGUUAAAUUGUGAUUUUUUGUUUAUAACCGUCGAAAACUUUUGUUCUGUUACCUAAUCUUUGAAUGUUUGUUUUUUGUGAUUUUUUACGUAUGCAAUCUCAGAGUGUGUACAAACAAGUUUGACGGUUCGAUCAUCGAAAAAAGUUUUGUAGAAUGUGUAUCGCAUCAAAACGGUAGAGUAAAUAAACACUUAAGAGUUAAUGUUAUACUUCCACUUAGUAUAAAAUAAGAUUUUAUAGUAUCCACUAGUGUAAAUAUUUUAAAUUGAAGAUCAAAUUUAUUCAUUACAUUCUUAUAAGGCCGAGGAGUGUAGCUGUAAAAAAUCAUUAAAAUCGGAGCUAAAGUAACCGUUAAAUUGUGAUUUUUCAUUUAUAACAGUCGAAAACUUUUGUUCCAUUACGUAAUCUCUAAAUGUUUUUUUUUUUUACAAUUUUUUACUUUGCAAUCUCAGAGUGUGUACAAAUAAGUUUGACGGUUAGAUAGUUGAAAAAGUUUCGUAGAAUGCAUAUCAGGUCAAAACGGUAGAUAAACAAACACUUAAGAGUUAAUGUUAUACUUCCCAUCAAGUAUAAAAUAAGAUUUUGUGGUACCCACUGGUGUAAAUAUUUUAAAUUGAAGAUCGAAUUCAUUCAAUGCAUUCUUAUAGGGUCGAUGAGUGUAGCUGUAAAAAAUUAUCAAAAUCGGAGCUAAAAUAACCGUUGAAUUGUGAUUUUUCGUUUCUAACCGUCGAAAACUUUUGUUGUGUUACCUAAUCUUUGAAUGUUUGUUUUUUGUGAUUUUUUACGUAUGCGAUCUCGGAGUGUGUACAAACAAGUUUGACGGUUAGAUCAUUGAAAAAAGUUUUAUAGAAUGUGUAUCGCAUCAAAACGGUAGAUUAAAUAAACACUUAAGAGUUAAUGUUGUACUUCCAUUAAGUAUAAAAUAAGAUUUUGUGGUAUCCACCAGUGUAAAUAUUUUAAAUUGAAAAUCAAAUUGAUUCAUUACAUUCUUAUAGGGUCGAGGAGUGUAGCUGUAAAAAAUCAUUAAAAUUGAAGCUAAAAUAACCGUUAAAUUAUUAUUUUUCGUUUAUAACCAUCGAAAACUUUUAUUCCGUUACGUAAUCUCUGAAUGUUUAUUUUUUACGAUUUUUUUAUAUGUAUGCAAUCUCGGAGUGUGUACAAAUAAGUUUGACGUUUGGAUCGUUGAAAAAAGUUUCGUAGAAUGCAUAUCGCGUCAAAAUGGUAGAUUAAACAAACACUUAGAGUUACUAUUAUACUUCCAUUAAGUAUAAAAUAAGAUUUUGUGGUAUCCACUAGUAUUAAUAUUUUAAAUUGAAGAUCAAAUUCGUUCAUUGCAUUCUUAUAGGGUCGAUAAGUGUAGCUGUAAAAAAAAAAUCAUCAAAACCAGAGCUAAAAUAACCAUUAAAUUGUGAUUUUUCGUUUAUAACCGUCGAAAACUUUUGCUCCGUUACCUAAUCUUUGAAUGAUUUUGUUUUUUUUUUUUUUUUUGCGAUUUUUUACGUAUGCGAUCUUGUAGUGUCUACAAACAAGUUUGAUGGUUAGAUCAUAGAAACUAGUUUCUUAGAAUGCAUAUCUCCGUUAAAUUUGCCUAAAUUUUGAAGUGGGAAAAGUAAUUUGUGCUAAAUUUAUAUUUAUGUUUUUCAAGUAUUGAUUAGACAAUAUUUAGUUUGUGUGAUGACAUUUUCAUUGUACAAUUAUCUUUUUGUUUUUUUAUCGCAUAUUUUACAUGGGUUAUUAUCUAUUAAACCAAACAAUUAUUUAUUUAAUUUUUAAAAAUGUAUUCUAUUUAAAUACUUAUUAUUUAUUUAUUUAUUAAACCAAACAAUUAUUAAUUUAUUUUUUAAAAUCGUAACAAAAUUUUGGGGGGAUGUUUGCCGCUAAUUUUUAUUUUUUUUUUGUCGGUUAUAACCGACAGUGUUGAAAAUUUUUCAAAAUAAAACCCCUUUAUCUCUUCCUUGCGCCAGUGCCUUCUCCCUUCCCCCUUCCCCCUUCCUUCCCCAUUUUCUCCUUUCCUCAUUUCCAUGUCCUUCUCUUCUCCCCUUCUCCUUCUUGCUUCAAUCACCAUGGAUGAACAAUUCGAGAAGCAACAUUCCGAAACCAGUUUGUUUUAAAUUAUUUGUAUUACGUUUAUUUUGUGUUUUAAAUUAUUUGUAUUACGUUUAUAUUAUGUCAUUAAAUCGAGUUUGUAUUUUGAAUCCAUUGGUGAAUGAAAGGUGAGAUUUGUAGGGUUUUUUCUCUCUCUCUCUCUCUCUCUCUCUCUCUCUCUCUCUCUCUCUCUCUCUCUCUCUCUCUCUCUCUCUCUCUCUAGUAUUGUCUAGCUAGCUCCUUGUGAAUGAGGUUACAAGUGAGAGUAUGAGUGAGAGUAAAUGGUAGGUAGUACUUCUAGAGAGAGAAAGAGAUUUUGCUUGUUUGGGUGAGUAGAGAGAGAGUGACUUCAACUGAGGUAUGAAAUUAGUGCAAAUGAGGAAGAUAUUAACAUACCCAAAAGAAAAAAUGCUAGAUUUUGCUUGGAUUCCUUAAAUAUAAUUUGUCAGAUGGAGAGAUGGGAAAUAAUCUUGGAAUAAAAGAUGGGUGGCAGAGAUGUUUGGAACUUAAUUAAACUUAGAUUUUGGGGAUCAAUAGAGAAGAAUCUACUUCAUCAUGACUACUAUCUUUUUGGGGAAAACUUAGUUUGAAUAACAGUCAGAGUACUGCUGCAAGAAGAUGAAUGAUUUCAACAAGGAACAACUUCAGAGAUCGUCACCUCUCUUAAUUUCCAUAAAAUAUUUUACGGGGCGAAAAACCAACUGAUAGUGCUCACCCAUUAAUGGAGAGAGAGAGAGAGAGAGAGAGAGAGAGAGAGAGAGAGAGAGAGAGAGAGAUUUGAAGUACUAACCAAGAUUUCAAGAUCUCAAGACUUAAAAAGUGAUGAAUGAUGAAGUGAAUCAAGGGAAGAGGGGAGAGGGGUUGCAGAGUCUGUGUUCUUGAGGAAUAAGAGUUGAAAUAAAGUUAGCAGAGUCUGUUUUCUUUUUCAAAUAUAUUUAUUUGUCUUUCCAAUCCUUUUCUUGUUGUUGGGGGUCAAACUUCUGUCUAAUCAUAUAUAUAUAUAUAUAUAUAUAUAUAUAUAUAUAUAUAUAUAUUCAGGUUAGCUGCGAAAUGGGAAACGAACUCGAAGAAUAUGUUGUAUCUUAGAGGAACGUUGCACAUCUCAAAGCUGGAAAAUGAAGAGAAUGCAGGGGAGGCCAACUUGAAAGGGAAAGAAAUGAUUCAGAAAGUGGUUUAUAUUUUUUUUAUUAUUAAUAUAUUUUCUGUAGGUUUUAUCCGACGAGAAUGCUCUUAUUUAUUCAUUAUUAAUAAAUUCUGUCGGUUAUAUCUGACACAAGUUUUGUCGGUUUUAGAGUAUUUUCUGUCGGUUUUAUCCGACAGAGAAUGCUCUUAUUUAUUCUUUAUUAAUAUAUUUUCUGUCAGUUAUAUCCGACACAAUUUUUGUCUGUUUUAGAGUAUUUUUUGUCGGAAAAUUCAUUUCCUGACAUUGGAAUCUAUGUCCUGACAUUGGAAUCUAUGUCGCCUAUUAUAUCCGCCAUUGCAUCUAUUUUCUGUCGGAUUUUACUUAAUAUCCGACAGUAAUAUACAUUAAGUAGUGAGAAAUUUUACUUUUUAAGUUAUUAAUUUUUUAACACUCAUAUAUCCCACCAUUUGCAUAAUGACACGUGGUGUACCACCCCGUGUUCUGGUCACACUGAAAAAUCUCUCUAAAUUUGGUUUAAAAUUUUGGUCUCCCUAGCAUUAUCCUAAUGAAUAUACCGAUAUUCGUAAGCCCCUUAUUUUUAGGUAAUUUGAAAUUACACAUAGAUCGGGCAAGCCUGAAUGCUGCAAAAACAAGAAAUGCAGAAAUAUAAAGCUAAGCCCUUAGACCAUUUCCAACCUUUGGGUUAAAACCUUAAAUCUUAAACUCAAAAAUUUAAGUUUUAAGCCUGAAAGAGCUUUUCUUCUCCGACUCUUAUGGGUUAAAAUUUUAGCCUAAGAUUAUUAAAGAAUGAGUUUAGGCUAAAUUUGUGACAACUCGUCCCUAAUUUCACGAUUUUAUAAAUUUUAAAAGAGUGCUUUUACGAAAAUACCCUUAGAGUGGAUGAUGUUUGACUUUCGUUGGCCAUCUUUCAUGAAAUGUACAGACUACUCUUUUUGUGAAUUCUCGAAGUACUCGACGAUACGAACGCGUGGAUGCAAACGGAAUGCAAUUUGGAGUUAUAACGAAAGAGUUAUUAACAAAUGAAGUCGAGGACAAAAUGGUCAAUUGAUUAUUUUUUGGAAAACUCUAGAUUUUUGGAGCAAAUAAUUGUUAUGCCACGUGUGUGGCUGAGUUGGAAAAGAAAUGAGAGAUAAGGAGGGUGUGGACCAAUCAGAAUAAGGAGGUAAGAAGAUGACCAAUGGAAGAUGAGAGAAAUGAAAAAAAGGAGGAGAGUAAGGCCCAAUCAGAAAAGAAGAGAAAGAGAGAGUGACCAACUAGAGAGGGAAGAAAAGAGGGAAAUAAGGGAAGAGAGAAGCAGAGGAACCCGGUCCUUUCCCUUUGACUCGUGACCCGUUUCAAACCCGGUACUCUAUGCGAAAUUCUGCCAUUUCUUCCGGAGAUUUUCCGACGAAUUUCACCAAGCCACCACCUAGAAACUUCUCACCAGCUGUUCUUCUUCAAUUUUCCACUCCAAUUCGAUGGGAUUUGGCCUCGUUUCAUGGUGUACAUCAAUGGCAACCCCGUGUGUCCCUAAGCGGCGAUCCGCCAUUUCUGAAUGCAAUCUUGUCGAUCUCCACCAUCAUUAGACUCUUCUUGAGGCCUGGAACAAAGCCCAAACAAUUGUAGCCGCGGCGGAGCACCGGAGGUGACAGAUCGAAGCCACCUAUUUCUAGGCUUUCCAGUGAGUUCGAGUAAAAUCGAGGAUUUUCCCAACCAAAUUGGACUUGGCCACAUGUAUAAAACUUCCUUUACUCAUUAAGAUAUUUAUUUUUAUGAAAUUUGGUAAUUUUUUGAGAUAGUUAUUUUUUCCGGCGAGUAAGGACGGUCGGUCGCCGCUUGCGGCGGCGUGUGGGCUGAGACCCCACCAGACCAUCCUAGGCUAAUUUAAUGCCCCGAUUUCAUAAUUGACAUCCGUAUAGUGAAAUCCUGAUGUUUUAAUAUAGUUUUGUAAUGGAUAGCCUAGUUGGCCGCCACUUGGUUAUUUUAUGAAUGGACGAUCUGACUGUUGGAUCGAUACCAAACUUUAAUAGGUGAUAGUACGUAAUAUUUAUGGACAUUAGGAACCUACGGAUCGGGAAUCCGAUAUAUGGAUCUUCCCGAAUUGAAUUUCUAAAGUUUGUAAAAUCCAAUGUUGAUCGCCACUUGAAUUUGCGAUUGGCGGAGAUCCAACCAUUGGAUAGUAAAGAAGUUUUAGUAUGUUGUUCUAGAAGUAUAGUGUGGACUUUGGGAAGUUUUGGAUCGGAAAUCCAUGGCAGAUGUUUCAGAAUGACUUGUGUAGGGUUGUGGACCUUACCUUUGAUAGAGACUUGACUUUUGGACAAUCUUCUACGAAUUGAUCUUAUAUAUUAAAAUCAGUAUUAAUAGAGACUUGGUAGGGCUUAAUGGGCCUAUAUUGAUUAGUGAGUUAUCCUAGAUAAUAUAUACAUCGGUUGACUUUUAGGGUUAACCGUUGAUUUUUUGUAAAAUUUGACGGGGACCCUCCUUAGCGUAUUUCGACGCGUUGAUUCCGAAUUCGCCGUCUAUUUUAUGAAAUUCAACCAUCUUUAUUAGUUGUACUUUGUACGAAAACGCGUAAUUUCAUUAGCACGUUAUGUUUACCUAAAUGGUUUCAUUUCUAGGCGAAAUGCAUCGCAAGGACUCUUGAUGCUACAAGGCGGGUUCGACUCAACGACAUGAUCUGUGAGUGGGUCUUUUCUUUAUAUAUAUAUAUAUAUAUAUAUAUAUAUAUUGGUUAGUUUCCAUAUAUACAAGCAUUAAUAAAUUCUUUAUGCGACUGCCAUGAUUAAAUUAAUGUUUAUAAGAAAUACCUUAUUGUUAGGAAACUCCUUAAUAGUAGACUUGAAAUGCUAGACAUUUUUAACUUUGCAAAUAUUUAUUGAGAAAAUUAAAGCGCAUCGCAACACAUACUAAGAAGAACACAUACUAAGGUGAUCAAUUAAGAGAAUACAAGAUAAAGCUUAAGGGCUGGCUAUAUAUGAUUAAGAGUUUGUAAACUACUCAACAAAUACAACUUUAUUGCAUAUUAUACGACUCUUACAACACACUUAGACGCUAAGAGGUUAGCUAAUUCUUUGUUUGAGUCUCUGCAGCACCAACUCCCAGUUUUCCAUCAUGGCCGUGACCAUGACCUUCGUGACCGUGGUCAUGUCCAUGCCCUCUGUGACCAUGGUCAUGUCCAUGCCCUCCAUGACCGUGGUCAUGCCCAUGCUUAUGGCCCUGAACUCGGUAGCCGGCCUUUUCUAUGCUGUUCUCUAGGGGUAAAAAAAAGAGAGUAGAACUUUACAAAUAGAGAAGAAAUAAAGUGUUGAAAUAUAUACACCUCACUUAACAAUUAUAUGAAGGUCUAAAAUUAUGAUAUGCAUGCACGUACAAAAGCCACAAGCUGUACAUACAAAAUGAAUAAUUAACAGCAUGUUUUUACAUCGAUUCAGAAGUUCUUAGAAGCAAUAUAUAUUUCGUUGUCCAACCAAUUAAGAUAUAUAUUGUUCAAGUUGCUUGGAAGACAAUUUUGUUUGGCAUACACUUGAGGACAUGAUGUUUUUACUCAUUCGCUCUACUUACUAAUUAAACAUGUUUUAAUUAAAAAAUGGAGAAGAAACUCACGGGUUUGAGGAGUAGUCUCAGCUAGCUCACGAGCUGAGAUUUCAGAGGAGAGGAGAAAAAAGUCCUUGACGAUGCCAUAAUUUUCCGAACAAUAUUAAUACAAAGGAAGCACAGUAAUGGCUUCUGAAGGUUGUAUGUAAGAGAGGAUUGCUGUGUAGUAUAAUGUGGUUUGGCUCUCCCUAUUUAUAGACCUUUGUAAGAGAGUGGGAAGUUGGGGACGGUGGCCGGAAAGAGAAUGAGAGAUGAUUUUUUAUUAACUUUUUCCUAAUCAGAAGAUAAGUAUGAUUAAAGGCUAAAGAGCUAAAACAUUAUUUAAUUAUCAUUUUGGACUUUCACAAGCAACUUUGUUUGUCCCCGAAUCCGUUAAACCCGCCCUUCGAAAUUACUCACAGAUAGAAAGAUAUGAAAAUGAGAAUUUGGGUAUGUAUGGGGACGGAUGUGAGGAAACCGUAAUUGUCCCCAAUCCAGCUCACUCUAUAUUUUUUUAAUACCAUAUGCAUGUUUUAUUCCGUCCUGUCGUUGCCUUUUUACUCUGUUUAUUUGUUUUCUUUUUUAUUCAUGUCCUGUCAUUGAACUUUUUGAGAAGGCAAACCCUGACUUUCAUUCAUUGCUUUUUUGACUCUGUGCAUUUUCUUUAUUUUAUUCAGUACCAAAACAUUUUUGAUAUUGCUUAUCUGUCAAUUAUUGUCUGGAGUUAAUAAUCUUGGUAAAUUACAAUUAAUAAUUAAAUAUUACUUGUAUACUCUGCAAUUAUCUAAUAUUACUCAUAAAUUGCAAUUAAUUAUUAAAUAUUACUUAUAAACUGCAUACUGUUACUUGUAAACUGCAAUUAUUUAAUAUUGCUUGUCUGUCAAGUGAUUUGACUACAAUUGCAUCAGUGUGUGAUUUGUGAUUAUCAUAGUUUAUGUGUGAUUAUUCAAUACCAACAAUUGCAUUCUGAUAUAUAUAUAAUAUUAAAUUGUGCGUAUUUAUCAUUAUGCUUUAAUUAAAUCCUAUGCUUUAAUCCCAACAUGAUUUGACCAAUAGUUGCAUACUUAUAUAUAUAUAUAUAUAUAUAUAUAUAUAUAUAUAUAUAUAUAUAUAUUAAUUGUUUCAUGCUUUAAUUAAAUCUUGUGCGUAAUUAUCCGUAUUAAUUGAUCUGUGGUUAUUAUAUAGUAGUAUAGUUUAUCCUAUACUUGUUAAAACUUUUGAGUGACAAACUGUUUUAAGUUCUAUAGUAUUAUAGUAAUCUUACAUCUCUCUCACUUGUUAUUAGUCAGUAUUACAUAACAAAUGGCAAGCCUAGAAGAAGCCAAUAGUGUUAAGCUUGAAAACUUUAGUGGCCAUAAUUUCCGUAGGUGGCAAAAACAAGUGAAAUAAUGGUUAACUGUCUUAGGACUUGUAUCCCCACUUAAAGAAACUCAAUCAAACAAGAAUUUCUCUUGUAAAGAGUCAUCUUCUAAACUAACCCCUGAACUAAUAGAAUACCAUUGUCACAACAGAAUCUUAAGUGUCCUUUCUGAUCACCUCUAUGAUGUGUAUCAUGCUACUACAUCUAUUGCCAAAGAACUUUGGGAAACUUUAGAAGCGGAAUAUCAAAUUGUAAAUGGUAGGAUGGAUAGGUUCACGGUCUCAAACUUUAAUGAUUGGAAGAUGGUAAAUAAUAAGUUUGUGGGGGAACAAAUACAUAAGUAUCAAGAGCUAUUAAGAGGUGUUGAAAAGAAAGGAACGAAGUUCAGUGAUGACUUUAAAGUUUCCUGCCUUACUGAUAAACUACCUCAAUCUUGGAAUGACUUUGCUAAAACCUUAAGGCAUAAACAAGGGGAACUUACUUUGGUUCAAGUCAUAAAUUCAAUUAGGAUCGAAGAGAAACAUAGGUCAACCAAAAGAAGGAAACCGAAAGGCAAACAACUGUUAACUUAGUUGAGAAUGACACCCACAAAAAUGAAAAAAACAAAAACAAGUUCACCAUUAAUAAUAAGAAGAAUUUCAAACCUAGAAGAACAAAUUUUAAAUUCAAAUGACCCAACCAAAAUAAGAACUUCCAUAAGACUAAGGAUCAAGGGAGAGAGAAGGGGGUUUGCUUCGUUUGCGAAAGAACCAAUCAUAAGGCUAACAAUUGCUUCUACAAGAAGACUGAGGAGAACAAGUCUAAGUCAAAUCAUAAUGGUCCAAAAGUUCAAGUGAAUAUGCUGAUGGAGCAACAAUCUUCUCAAACACAUUUUAAGUAUGAUUCCUUUGUCAAUUUUACUUAUGAAAACAAGGAAUGGUGGGUAGAUUCUGGAGCUAAUGUACAUGUCUGUUUUGAUCGUGAAUUUUUUAAAACCUACCAGAAAUCAGGUGGAGGACGUGUAACUCUAGGAAAUGACUCAAUGUCGCAAGUGCUUGGAAUUGGAGACAUAGAACUAAAGAUGACAUCUGGAAAGAUCUUAAUUUUGAAGGACAUGCGAAAUGUGCCUGAUAUUAGAAGAAAUUUAAUUAGUAGAUCAUGUUUAGUAAAGUAAGGCUAUAAAGUUGUAAUGCAAUCAACUUAUAGCUACCUCAUUAAUUUGAGUAGUGUUAGACAUAUCUUUUAUUAUCAUUAUUUAUACUAUCUCUAAUAAAAAUAGAGCUAGUAAUGUAUGUAGAUCUUAUCUUUACCACAAAAAUAGUACACAUAGACAGUAAAAGUAGUACUUUUGCCUAGCUUAUUAGGUGGACCAUCUCCUAAAUAGAAUGAGGUCCAUAUCCUUUUUAUGAGGAUUUCAGAAUUCUCUAAUUACAUCUGUUUAUUGUACAUCAUGCGGUUAGUUUUCGUCAGGUACUAUUUAUAUUUAAUUUUAAAUAAAAAAAUUAUAAAGAUCUCUAACCGCAUGAUAUACAAUGAACGAGUGUGAUUAGAGAAUUCACAGAAUCCUCACAAAAAGAAUCCGGAGAGAAUUCUCAUUAGGGGUGAGGAUGUGCAAGUGUGGGUGGAUAGAUGGUUGCCAUCAUUACCUUCAUGGCACCCUAUGCCACUUGGAGAGGUUGAGGUCACUAAAAACUUGCGUCAACUCUCUUAUAUGCCUAGUUUCAAGGCAGUGGGAUUUAAGCUUUCUACAACCUUUCCUCUUUACGGUGGAUCAUGAGGAGAUUAGAGACACUUCAAUCGGCGACUGGAGUAGGAAGGAUCUGUUAGUUUAGGCAGCUAGUAGGAAUGGCAAGGACUCGGUCAAGUCUGGAUAUCGAUGGAUCCAAUCGAGUACGCUAAGUUUGAGGGGUCAUCAUUAAUAUACUGCUCGUUUGGUCCCAAAGGAAUGUUGGAGAGGUAUCUGGCAGCUAGAGGUACCUCCAAAGAUCCAGCAUUUCAUUUGGAUUUCGAUGCACAAUGGCCUAGCAACUAGAGCUGCUCUCUUUAAACAACGAUCAUCCCCUUCCUAAUUGUGUCCUAUUUGUCGUUGCCAAGAUGAAUCGAUUGAGGUAUCAUUUAUCCAAUCUCGGAUAGCAAAUGGGUGAGCCCGACUCAGGUGGUUCCAAAGAAAACUGGUAUUACUGUAGUGAAGAAUGAUAACAACGAGCUUGUGCCUACAAGGAUGACCACGGGAUGGCGAAUGUGUGUUGACUAUAGAAAGCCCAAUAACAGCACUAGAAAGGAUCAUUUUCCGCUGCCAUUCAUUGAUCAGAUGCUCGAGAGACUAGCUGGUCAUUAUUUCUAUUGUUUCUUAGAUGGUUAUUCAGGGUACAACCAAAUUCUAAUUGCCCCUGAGGAUCAAGAGAAGACAACGUUUACAUGCCCUUUUGGUACAUUUACAUACAGACGAAUGUCAUUUGGAUUGUGCAAUGCCCCUGCCACUUUCCAACGAUGCAUGAUGAGUAUUUUUUCUGGAAUGGUUGAAACUAUUGUUGAGGUUUUUAUGGAUGACUUUUCUGUUUUUGGUAAUUAUUUCGAUAUAUGUUUGGAUAACUUGUCUUUGGUUUUGGAAAGAUGCAGGGAGACUAAUCUUGUGUUAAAUUGGGAGAAAUGCCAUUUUAUGGUUAAGCAUGGCAUUGUGCUAGGACAUCUAAUUUCAAGCAAAGGAAUAGAGGUCGAUAAGGCAAAGAUUGAGGUGAUCGCCAAAUUACCACCACCAACUUCUGUGAAGAAUGUGAGAUCUUUCUUAGGACAUGCUGGUUUUUAUCGAAGAUUCAUCAAGGAUUUUUCCAAAAUUAGUCGUCCUCUUUGUAAUUUACUUGCUAAAGAUGCUUGUUUUGAUUUUAAUGCAGAUUGUCAUGAUGCUUUCAACAAAUUGAAGGAUCUUCUCACAUCAGCCCCAAUUAUAACAGCUCUAGAUUGGACCCUUCCCUUUGAGCUUAUGUGCAAUGCUUCUGAUUACGUUGUGGGUGUUGUCCUUGGUCAGCGAUGUGACAAGCUCCCCCAUGUUAUAUAUUAUGCCAGCCGCACUUUGAAUGAUGCUCAUCUGAAUUAUGCCACUACGGAAAAAGAAUUACUUGCAGUGCUAUUUGCUUUUGAAAAGUUUCUAUCGUACUUAAUUGGUGCUAAAGUCAUUGUGUAUUCUGAUCAUUCUGCUCUCAAGUACUUAUUGUCUAAAAAUGAGGCCAAACCAUGAUUGAUUCGAUGGGUCAUUCUCUUGCAAGAGUUUGAUUUGGAGAUCCGAGAUAAAAAAGGACGUGAGAAUGUUGUGGCGGAUCAUCUCUCAAGAUUAGUAAAUGCAAACACUGAUGAGGCAGAUUCAUUGCCCCUGCAAGAGAGCUUUCCAGAUGAGCAACUUCUAACGGUUACUCAUCAAGUACCAUGGUAUGCUGACAUCGCAAAUUAUUUGGCAUCUGGAGAAAUACCAUCAGAGUUCAGUUACCAACAAAGGAAGAAGUUCCUCUCCACUGUAAAACACUACUUUUGGGAUGAGCCAUACCUUUUCAAGCAUUGCCAAGAUCAAAUCAUUCGUCGGUGUGUCCCCUUAGAAGAACAAUAAAGCAUUUUGAAGUUUGCUCACCACUAUGCAUGUGGUGGUCAUUUUGGACCAAGAAGGACAGCGACCAAGAUCUUACAGAGUGGUUUCUUUUGGCCAUCUUUAUUCAAAGAUGCAUACCUAUGCUGCCAGGCUUGUGAUAAAUGUCAAAGAGUUGGAAAUCUUUCUUAGAGAAAUGAGAUGCCCCAACAAAGUAUUUUGGUGAUUGAACUAUUUGAUGUUUAGGGUAUAGACUUCAUGGGACCUUUCCCUUCUUCACAUGGCAAUCUUUACAUCUUGGUGGCGGUUGAUUAUGUCUCUAAGUGGGUGGAGGCAAUAGCUUCUCCAACAUGCAAAAGUUCUGUGGUGUUAGGUUUCUUGCAGAAUACUAUUUUUCCCCGAUUUGGAGUACCUCGUGCUAUCAUCAUUGGCGAAGGUACGCAUUUCUUAAACCGCACCAUGGUUGCCCUUUGUGCCAAGUAUCAUAUUCACCAUCCACCCCAUACCAUCCACAGAUAUCUGGACAAGUUGAAGUAUCUAAUCGGGAGCUCAAGAGGAUUCUUGAGAAAACUGUCAGUUCAUCUCGAAAGGAUUGGAGUUUAAAGCUUACUGAUGCUUUGUGGGCAUAUAGGACAACUUAUAAGACACCAAUUGGGAUGUCUCCUUUUCGUUUGGUGUAUGGGAAAGUUUGUCAUCUGCCUAUGGAACUUGAGCACAAGGCAUAUUGGGCUAUUAAGCACCUCAAUUUUGACUACCAGGCAGCUGGAGAGAAGCGGAAGCUGCAGUUGAAUGAACCGGAAGAAAUAAGGAAUGAUGCUUAUGAGAAUGCAAAGAUUUACAAGGAUAAGACCAAGAAAUUUCAUGAUGCUCACAUCCUUCGUAAAGAGUUUCAACCGGGUCAGAAUGUUUUGCUUUUUAAUUCGAGAUUGAAACUAUUCCCAGGAAAGCUCAAAUCACGUUGGAAUGGUCCAUAUCGUGUUGUACAGGUCCAUCUUCAUGGGGCUGUGGCUAUCCAAAACAUGCAAACUGGUUUUGUUUUCAAAGUUAAUGGACAUCGCUUGAAGUUAUUCAAGGAGUCUCCAUAUGAUCUUGCUAAGGAUUCCAUCACUUUGAAGGAACCUGUUAUUUGAAUCAAAUUGCCAACAUGAUGUCUAGCUCUAGACAUUAACUAAAGCGCUUUUUGGGAGGCAACCCAAGUUUUCUAUCUUUCAUCUUUAGUUUGAAUAAUUUUAAAUGUUCUUGUUCUAUUUUUCUCUUGUUUUCUGGUUUGUGUGUUUAAGUCCUACUUUUGCUCCCUUAUGCAUGUAAUGCUUUUGCAGUCUCUACCACAACUUCUUGCAAAGUUUCUUAAUCCCACAGGUUACUCACACAUUUGUUAUGCAUAAUGGGACGUGUUGAAAUAAGUUUGGGGAUGAUUUGGAAUUCUACCAUGGAACAAAAAUGCAUCUUUACUGCUGCUCUCCUCGCCUACACAAAUUGGUGUGUUCUUUCCUUUUCUUUAUGUGUCUUUACUUCAUUUUGUAUUUCUUUCCUUCCAUUUUUAUGUCUUAUUGUUCAAAAUUCCUUUCAUUAUCAUUGGGGACAAUGCUAUAAUUAAGUUUGGGGGUGGAAAUAUAUUUCGUUAGUUUACUUCUUUUUAAAUUUUUUUUUUUUUUUUUGCAUUUUUGUUAUUGUUUGUAGCUACUUCUCAAUUCAAUGAUGAGAUUUGAUCUUAAUUUCCUUCUUACUUUCAAGAAGUCUAAGUUCUUUUCGUUGUCUUUGUGUUAAUUGUGAUUUCCAGCAAUCAACUUAAAAAAUAAAUGUGCCUAGUCUUGUCAAUGUGAAACUUGAGCAUGAUUUAGCGUUUCAUAUGUGAAUCAUGUGAGAUUAUGUAAACCUUGUGAGUUUUUGAGCCUAUACAUGAUUGAACCAUUAUGCAUCAAUCUCAUUCCUUCUUGUGCGUAUAAUCUCACUGUACAUGUAUCUCUAGAACUUGCUUUAUACUUCUCGAUUCAUUAAUCAAUUCAUGUAAUAACUUGGAAGUGAUAUAGGCCAUCUUUGGAUUGUUUGAGCCUUUCGUGCCUACCUUAUAUGCUAUGUUUAUCCGUAGUAGCCCGUUGAGCCUUUAACCUCUAUUUCUUUGUUAGACACAUCUAUUUACCUUGCUCCGAUAGUGGAGUUGAGCCCAUACACAGAAAUCGAUUCCUUAUUGUUUUGAGAAAGUAUUACAUGGGUUGUGCUCUUGGGGGUUUCAUUUAUGUAGAAAGAUGGAUGGAGCAUGUGUAUUACAAUGAAAUGUGAAUUUGAUGGGUGAUGUAGCUUUUGCAGAUUUGUUUCUUUCAAAAAAAAAAAAAAAGAAGAAGAGAAAAUUGGAGAGUGUUGAUUUGUUGAAAAUGUGUCUGCGGAGUAUAAAUUUCCUUUUGAAGUUGAAUUUGGGGAGUAACAGGUGCUCGAGGUUUUAUUAUUUUGCUUUCAAUUUGAGGUGGUGUGAUAUUGAGGUGUUGGAAAACUACUUAAGUGUACUUUCUCAAAAUUUUUGAUUUCCAUAUCCUUUUUUUCAUUAGCCUAUCACCUUUAGCCCCAUUACAACCGUAAUAAAGUCCUAUUGAUCCAAGGUAUUACUUAAAUAUUGAUAGUGAGUUAGGUGGACAAGCAAGCAUAUGGUGGCAUGUACAAUGAGAUCACUUGAGUGAAACACAUUAACCAAAACUUAUGAGUGAAUGAGCGUACGUCUUGUGAGAAGCUCACAUGUUUUCAUAUGAUGAUUUAAAGGAGCUUGGAAUUGCAUUGACAUGGCUAGCUCACACAUGACAUUUCAACGUUUUGUUUGAAGGAAAUUUGGUUAACUAUUGGAUGAUGUUUUGAGCUCUUGUUGCUUAGUUCUUGGCUAUUUGUUUCAUGGUUAGCACUUAUCUCUGAAAUCGAAAUUGAGAAGUUGGCUACUAAGUUGUUGAAUCUAGUCUUAGUUGAAUUGUUUUGUUUUGCUAGAGGACUAGCAAAAAUGUAAGUUUGGGGGUAUUUGAUCACCAUAUAUUUCAUGCAUUUAGACCAUCCAUUUCUAAAGUCUUUGUGAUGUUUUUGUGUUAAAAUGGUUGCAUUUUACCUUACCUUGUGUUAGUGUGCAGUUAAAUUUGCUUUAGGAUCAAUUUCAAGCAAAAAGGAGAAAAGGAAAUAAUAAAAACAAACAAAAGAAUUGGAAGUGAGGCUUGUCUUCCACUUGUGGCCUUAGUGACUUGGAAAAGAGCUUCCUUUUGGUUAAAGGCAAGGAAAACACACGGAAGUGGAGGUGGGGAAGACAGAGAGGACACGGUAGAGAGUGAAUGGAGCAGCAGAAAAGUAGCAAAAGAGAGCAAAAGAGGAGGAGCACACACGGAAGUGGGAAAGAAAAGAUGGUAGAAAAGAGGAGAUCAUGGGGUACCCACUAUGAAGUGGAGUUUGGUUGGUCUUCCACUUAUAGCUUUGGUUGGUUUUGGCAAUGAUUGCCUUUUGUUGAAGGCAAUAAAAGGCAGAGAAAAAGAAGUGAAGAGGGAUUGAAAGGCAGAGGGGAGGAAGUCAGGAGCAGAGGAGAGCAAAGGAACGGAGAGCUCGUCUUGUAAAAAAUGGUGUCUUCUUUCUUUGUUUUUUCAUGGAUAAUUUCUUAUGUAUUCAAAUAAUUAUGUAUAACUAAUUUCUUUUUGCUAGAGUGAGGCCAUGAGCCGCAACAUGAUUACGUAGAUUUCUCUUUCAAUUGCUUAAGUGUUGUUACAUGCUUGCUUUGAUAUUUUCAAUCUCUAAAUUAAACUAUCUAUGUGUCUUGAUGAUUGAUCACCAUUAGGAUGCUUAGAAAAGUCAUUGGAUGCAAUUUUGAACGAAUGUCACGUUAAAAUUGGUUAUGCUUCUUGUGAUUGAGGAUUGUAAUUUCUCCUAAGGUAAAUAUCAUACUCUUAGGGAUUACAUGGUUUAACAAAAGGAUUUUCAUCAAGAUUAAUGAAUCAUUCAUGUUUAUAUUUAAUCCAAAUGUCAUGGAUAAAUUGCAUGUAGUGGUAUGCGUUUUAACUUGAAUGUCACAAGUAAAACAUACACAAGGAAAACCCAACCUUCAAAGCAUAUGUGUUUUCGAUUACUUAAGCAAUUGGAAGAGCUUCGUAGGAGUGUUGUUGGUAAAGGUUGAACUCUAGCACCUUGUCAAUCUAAUUUUCUUCAAUUAUUUGUAUUAUCUUGAGUUUAUAUAUUUACUUGUUUUGUUUAGUUGGAUCAUUAUUCCUAUAAGCCAAUUCCCAUUUUAGAUAUUUGUUUAAGUCACAUCCAGUAGUAUUUAGUUUCGUCAAAUUAGUGUAGUUCUUAGAGUUAAAUAAGUUAAAUACACAAAAACUCGUAAAUUGUUUAUAUCAGUCCCUGAGGAGAUCGACCUUGCUUGAGCCAUUCUAUACUAAAAACACUUGUUCUCUUGCAAGAAUUUUCUAUGGUUUAACCCUUGUUUUACAAGUGAUAAAAAUCACCAUCACAUGCCAUGCUGUGCAUCUUGGAGUAAGACUUGAAUUGUAAUUCAAUUAUAACAACAUAUUACCACUUUUUUUUACUUCUUUGGUCAUCCCUUAUAUAUUGGAUGAAACUUCAAAUAGUUCUACCAAACAAGCCCCAAAUUCUUUUUGGUAAUUGAGAGUCUCUGAUUGUUUGAUAAUCCUCUAUAUAUUUGAUGAAGCUUCAGCUAACUUCUACCAGACAACCCCUGAUUUCUUUAUGGUAAUAGAGCUUCGUCUCUAAUUGUUUAUUGUUUGAUAGAUUAUUAUAAUAUUUGGGUUGUUGGAUAUGUUGGGUUUGAAUUGAGUUUUUGUUUUCUUUUUUCAGAGUGAUGGAUUUUUUAUUGAAAUGCACUCAACCCUGAAUUCCAGUGGGGAUGGCUGAAGCAGUUGCCGGAUAUGACAAAUGGCAGCCAAGGUUCCCUAAAUUGCCCAUCCUUUUAGUUUUAUGAAGUAUGACAAUUUGAUAUACAUAUAUAUAUAUAUAUAUAUGUAUAUGUAUAUAGAGAACUUACAUCUCUUAACAGAUUGUGUUGCUAGAUAGUUUUUCACAUACCUGAUCAAAAUAAAGUUUAUCGUGUUAUUCUGUCUAAAUAUUGAUUUGUAACAACGUUAUGUAAAUACUUUUUACACACCAUUUUUAUAAUACAUUUAGUCCUGUAUUUGAAGACUUAUAUACAAUACUUAUAAUUUGUUUGACAUUCCACGGCAACGCACGGGCUAAAUCCCUAGUAACUACUAUAUUGUAGAACUAAAGUUGGUUGGGAAAAAAAGAUGAUAAUUGGGAAAGGCCGCACAGGAUAUGUUUGCAAAUUUGUCUCCACCCAUAAAGGAUCAAUUCAUUUAGCUUGUAAAUACGUACUUGAGUUUUUCCUCUCCCUUUUUCCGGUUGAAGUUUUUCAUUGUCACCAUUUGCAAAUGAUAGAUACAGGUUCCUAACUGAAGUGCGAUAGUACUACACAACACACGAGCUGGGGUCCAAACCUUAAUUCGAAGCAACACAAAUAUAACAAAUCAAAUAGCAUAUUGCAGUAUAUAACAAUUUCUCUAUUCUAAAUUUGGAGAGGGGUGGUACGCUUGGCUAUAAGUGCAACUGAGGGGAGAAUUUGGUUUUAGUUACGAAAUUACCAUUUCUUUUAAUGUAGAUAUGAGCUAUGUUGUGGAUUUGUUGGUUUGGGGCUACAUGAUUUAUUGUGUGAAUUUGUGGUUUUGAUCUGUCGUGUUCCUUAACUAGAGUAGUGCUUUUACUAAUUUAGGCAUGUACUAGGUCUUACUCAAUUAAUUGUGGCUCAUGUAAACAUAUCUGUUUUUUAUUUGUGGUCAAUGGUUUCAUUAGUACGGGCAAAUUCAUUUUCAUAUUAUGGCAAUGAUUUAAAGCAAUGCUAAAAAGAUAGUGGAUUGAAUGCCACUUACUUGUAUUAUUGUUGGAAAUAAACGUAUUUCUUUUUUAAUAUUGCUUUAAUUUCAUUUUGAUGAGAGAAUAAACAAUAUUUCUUUUUCUUAUUCUUUUUCUUGGGUGGAUCAAACCACCGUUUGGAACUGUUAAAAUUAACUAAAAUUUUGAUAUUACCCCUUGAAACUAUAUUUUCAUCUACUAAAAUCCAUCACCUUUUGUUUUCUUGAAUGAAGCCCAUUGACUAGCCUCUAAAUAAACAAAUUCUUUAAUGAAGUUUUACUUUUCAAAUUGUGUAUUUUCCGAAUGCCUGAACUACCCCUAUUAAUACUUGGAUGGUUUUUGGAUCAGUUACUUAUUAUAUAUAUUUAAUUAAUUUUAUGUAUUUUACAAAAUAAUUCAUGCCAUUCAUUGUAUAUUCAAUGUAUUAACUUUCAAAUUGUUAUAUAACGUGCUGAUUAAAAAAUAAUAAUACUAAUUUCAUAAUUUUGUGCAUUAAAUAUAAAAGUCAAUUUACCUACAAACACAACAAUAAACCUAAAACAACUUCAGCUAAUACUCCAAUCUCCAAUACACAAGACAAAAACUAUAUGUUCUGCGCAAUUUUCAAAAUAGUCUAAUUUACCUAUUCCAUCAAACCAAAAUUUAAAAGGUCUAAUUUACUUCCAAAAUGCUCUAAUUCACCUACAUGAUUUAUGUGCAUUAGAUUAAAAGUUUAUUUAAUUGCCUACAAGCACAAACCCACAUCAUUCGAACAUUAUGUAAUAUCACUUAAUUUUUUAUUUUUUGGAAUAGGUAAAUUAAUUUAAAUGUAGGUAAAUUAGCAUAAUAUUUUACAAGUAGGUAAAAUAAUUUAAUAUUUUACAAGUACAUAAAUUAGUAUAAUAAUUGUAUGUAGGUAAUUACAUGAUUCAAAAUGCAGGUAAAUUAGUAUAAUAUUUUAUAAGUAUGACACACCUUGACCUAAAUCGAGGCAUGCUGGCCGUCAUGUGAAGAUGACGUAGCCAUGUGCGUCGUGCGGAAGUGAUAGUGAUAAGAAAAUGUGAGUAAUUAAAAACCAAAACUAACUAAUUUACAGUAAGAUAACCAUAAAAGUGUGUAGAGGUGUUUAAAGUAGUAAUGCAAGUACUCAGAGCCUAGGUUCUGACAGACUUCAAUUAAUGUAGGAAUCUCUUUUAGGUUUUGUAUAAUUAAUACUUAGCCUGCUGGACUGCACUUAGGCCUAUCCUAGGAUUUUCUCGUGUGAGUUCUCAGAAAAAAAAACCAUGAGGGUGUGGUCGAGGCCCAAAACAGACAAUAUCGUGCUACGCGGAGUCGUGCCCAGGAUGUGAUGGGGGCUUGGGCCGGGAUGUGACAAGUAGGUAAAUUAAUUUGUAUGUAGGUAAUUACAUGAUUCAAACAAUAUUAUUUUUUCUGUACAAGAUAUGUCUUUUUUUUUUUAUAAUUUGGUAAAUUAAUUUAUAUAUGUUGCUAAUAUUUAUGAUACAAGAAAGGUAAAAUAUCCAUAUAGAUUUAAUUGCUCAUCAUAAUUAGGAUGAGUAAUAACAUUUAUUGACCGAAUUAGGAUUUUGUGGCAUAAGUUGUAAAUGUAUUGUAAUAGUUGGUCAUAUAUUUGUCCACAUGGCAGUUUAUUUGAAAUUUGGGUUUUAUUUGAAUGUUUAAAUUUAGGUGAGUUUUUAUUUGGAAAAUAGGAGUUUCAAGGGCCUAUAUCUAAAAAACCCUAAAAUUAAUUGUGAUGGAGCAUGGUGCAGUCAUAAUGGUAUGGGUGGUGUUGGUUGGGUGGCAAGGGAUUUUGUGGGCAUCUUUAAAGGUGCUGGAGGUGUUGGACAAAUUCCGUGUGUCUCAAGUCUUAUGGUGGAAGCGGAAGCAAUGCGACUGGCUUUGUUGUCUUGUGUGGAGAAAGGCUUUGAGUCUGUUCUGCUGGAGACCGAUUCUCAGGUUUUGGUUGACAUGAUUCAUGGCCAGUUACAACCAAAGGCAGGUUUAGAUAGAAUCUUAUGGGAUAUUAAUCUUCUUAAGCAACAUUUUGAUGCUAUUGAGUUCUUAUAUGCUCCUCGUGCCUGUAAUGAGACAGCGCACCUUGUGGCUUCUUAUGUCACACGUGUGGAAGGUAGUCAUUCUUGGGAUGGUUUUAAACCAGAGUGGUUGUUUAAUACUCUGGCAUUUAAUGUAAACAUUUCGAUUCGAAUUUAAUAAUAUUCAAAUUUUGACAAAAAAAAAACUUUUAGUAUAUUUCUUUAUUUACAUGACAAAUUUUUCGACCCGCCGCAGUGCGACAUGAUACUUGUGAGAUCCAAAUCGCACAGUUCAUGGACUACUGCUUUUAUUGACUAGCAAAUCUUUAUUGCAACGCAUACUACUUCAGUACCACAGGCAAAUUGAAGGGUCAUAUAUCUAAUUCUGUAAUUCAGCCUCUGCAGCGCCAGCUACUAGUUUUCCGUGAUGGCCGUGCCCAUGCUCGUACUCCCAAUGUCCGUGGCCAUGCCCGGGCUCCCAAUGUCCGUGGCCAUACCCGUGCUGCUUCCAAUGUCCAUGGCCAUGCUCUCCAAAUCCGUAGCCUCCGUGUCCAUAGCCUCCAUGUCCAUAGCCGUGAUCAUGCUUUCCAUGUUUGUGCUCGUAGCCAUGGCCAUGUUCCCAAUGUCCAUAGCCAUGCUCAUGCCCUCCAUGUCCGUGCCCGUAUCCAUUUUUAUGCUCGUAUCCGUGAUAAUGGUCACCAUAGGUAGCCCUUUCAACGCUCUCCUCUUGAAAAAGAAAACAAUUAAGUUGGAUAUCAAAAACCGAAAAUUAAGCCUUGUAAGUGCAGUAGCAGUAACUACCGAUGCAUGCAAAGUGACUAACCAUCCGGAUGUUCCCAAGUUACUAGUUUUCCCAACAAAAAAUGUUUAAGUUCGAGAAGAAAACAGGUGGGAAACUAAAGUCAAAAUUCGUAGCAUGCAUGUUAAAACCUGCUAAUGACGAAUAAAAUGUGCCUAGCAAAAUUUACAAAUGCGUAAUCGAAUAAAAGAACAAAAAUGAAUUUUAAUUGAGAAAGCGAGAAACUCACGGGUUUGAGUAGGAGCAGUCUCAGUCAGCUCCCGAGCGGAAACCUCAGAGAAGAUAAGGAAAACAGCAAAGACAAGACCUAGUAGAAGAAAAGUUUUUGAGGACGCCAUGUUUGCUGAUAAUUAACAAAACGAGGUGAUGGAAUAGAAUUAUGAGGUAAGAGAUGAUCGCAGAGUGAAGUGAAUAUCAUGUGGUUUGGCUUUCUCUAUUUAUAGACCUUCAAAAUUAAGAGAAGGAGAGGGAAGAUCUUUGGACACCCACAUUUUUUUCACAGUAGAGUGGUAAACGAAAACUAUUUUUACCUAGCUAAUACAUAUCAAAUUCCCUCGAGUAGUUUGAACUCUAUCAAAGCAUGCUUUGUUUGGUUUGAUGAUAUGUUGAUACCACUACGUAUUAAGUAAGAAAUGAGCCAUCUAACCUAACUAGUAGGUCAUCAAAAUUUGUUUCUACGCAAUAUGUGGCAAAGUGAUCAUAGUUGUAGAUGGCUUUUGCUAAUUAUGUGAAAAAUGUAACUAAGCACCAUUAACUAAAUCAAACAGAAAUUGGUUUUCAGUUGUGAUUCCUUAGAAUAAUAAAUUGAUAUUGUAAAUGAUCAACAACUAAGUCAAAAUAAGUAGUUUGUCAUGAUUAAUAGUAUAAGAUGACAUUUCAAGGGAUAUAUCUACGUCUGUAGACGGAUAUACUUUAGUUCAUAUUUAAAUCCAUUUACAAUUGGACUACCAGAUCUUGCCCGUAUUCGGCUUGUUAGAUUUGACUUGAUCCAUAUGAAAUAAGCAUCAGAUUUGGAUCAAAUCUAACUUAAGACCAAUUUUUUUUUUUUUAAAUAUCAUCCUUAACGACUUCAUUCUUCAUUCUUAAUUUCAUGGUGUAUACUAAUUUAUGAUGGAAUACAUAUGAACAAUGCUCAAACUUCAAGUCAAGAUUCUUCAUUUCAAAUUCUACCUUGAAGUGCAAGGUAGUUUUACAAGGCUAUUUUAGAGUUCAAUUGGGAUUUAUAUCAACGAUACGGAAUACAACCCUAGCAACACUAGAAUAUGACUUCUUAAGGAGUGUACCAGCAAUUGUGUCAAUUUUGUUGUGAUUGAAUACUUGAAUUUGUAAUGGAAUGUAGCAAGAGUAAAUGCUAUGUAUCACCAGCGCAUAUGCGUUGCGUUACAAUUCAAAUCAUGACACUAAGCAAUGUUAACGAAUAGGACAAUGCUAGGAAGAUCAAUUUUUUAAACCAAAUGAUAUGGUGGCUGAUUAUUGGAUUAUUAAUUAAGUAUCGAUUAACGUGUUUAUUUUUUAUUGGUAACACAUCAUUUGGUUUGCAAAUUUGGUUUAAAAAUUUAGUCUCCCUAGCAUUAUCCUAACAAAUAAUACCGAUAUUCUUAAGCCCCUUAUUUUUAGGUAAUUUGAACUUACACAUAGCUCGGGCAUGCCUCAAUGCUGCAAAAAGAUAAGAAAUGCAUAAUUAUAAAGCUAAGCCCUUAGACCAUUUCUAACCCUUGGAUUAAAACCUUAAAUUUUUAACUCAUAAAUUUAGGUUUUAAGCCUUAAAGAGCUUUUCUUUUCCAACCCUUAUGGGUUAAAAUUUUAACCUGAGAUUACUAAGGAAUGAGCUUAGGUAAAUUUAUUUUCUAAAAUAAUUUUUUUGAAAAAUAAAAUUUAUGUAGACUAUCUUAAUUUAUUUUUAUGGACAUUUUAACUAAAAAAAUAUUUAGAUUCUAAUAGUUGAACAAAUAGAUAUAGAUAUAGUUAUUUAUAGAGUUUUUGGGUGAAUCUUGAGUUAAAUAUUUUUUUUUUUUAAAUUGUUAUAGUAGUUGGGCUAUUUGAUUGUGGCCGACAUUGGCGUCAGCCUGGGGCUUGCGCAUUGUCAACCUUGGCGCAUUCCGUGCGCAUGUUGUUGGGCUACGGCUCGCCUAUUACCUGGGCGCAUCAUGAAUGCGCAAGAGUGGGUCGGGGGUUUCACUUUGGUCGGUUUCUUGGGUUAAAUUUGCCCAAAAAUCAGUUUUAACCUAAAGCUGAUUUUUGGCCCAAGAGUUGAAGCAAAUUUUUUAUUUUAUUUUAUUUUAUUUUUCGGGGCGGGUUGGGGUAGGGGAGCCGGGAGGUGACAUUUUUUAAGAAUCUCCACCCAUGCAUUUUAAAAAGUUGUUGCCUCCAUAAUAUUUGUCUGCAUAAAAACAAAAGAACUAAUAGUUUCGAAUACAUCCACUAGAUAAUUCGAAAAUUAGUAUGGACCUUUCAACAAUACAAUCACCACCUCAUUCAUGGCGUGUGUUUGUAAUGUAUAGCUCAACAGCUUUAACUUCUUAUUUUACCAUAGCUAGAGCUUCCAAAACCUUUGUCAACAGUGCACAAAAUAAUUCUUUAACUAGAUAAUGAUCGGACCAACUAGUUAAUGGUAUCGAAGUAGUACUUCACUUCCUAAUGUUAGAAGAUGUCCCAAAUUUGAAUCAGAAGCCCAAUAAUAAAAAAAAAUAUUGUCACCAAAAUGAUGAGUAUCCAAAGAAACUCCUUAAUAGCAGACUUGAAAUGCUAGACAUUUUUAACUUUGCAAUAUUUAUUGAGAAAAUUAAGGCGCAUCGCAACACAUACUAAGGUAAUCGAUUAAGAGAACACAUACUAAGAUGAUUGAUUAAGAGAAUACAAGAUAAAGCUUAAAGCCUGCCUAUAUAUGAUUGAGAGAGUUCAUAAACUACUCAACCAAUACAACUUUAGUGCAUAUUAUACGACUCUUACAACUCACAUAGACUCUACGAGGUUAGCUAAUUCUUUGUUUGAGUCUUUGCAGCACAAACUCCCAGUUUUCCAUCAUGGCCCGUGGCCAUGACCUCCUUGCCCCCCGUGACUAGGCCUGGCAUUUUUAACCCAACCCGUUAAACCGACCCGACCCGACCCGUUAAAAUUAGUAUUCGGGUGGGUGGUUAACGGGUCGGGUAGUUAACGGGUCAACCCGUUAGUCACCCAUUACAUAACGGGUCAGUUUGGGUGAACCCGCGAAACCCGUUAACCACCCGUUAAGACCCGUUAGUAAGGAUUUUUGUGUAAUUUCAAUAGCCCUAAUUCAAAACCUCAGGACCUCAGCCAUCAGCCCUUACGUUCCUCACCUCUCUCGCUGCCUCACACGCCAUUGCUCUCUGAGACUGAGAUCGCUGUGCAGCCUGUGCUCCUUCCUUCAAGCUCCGGUUAUCUCCCUCAUCUUCUUCCCUCAAAAACUUUACUGAACUCCACCACUCUCUCUCUGGUAAGCUCCGAUUUCCUUCCACCUCUUCUUUCAUUUUGAUUACUUUUCGUUUCUGCAGAUUAGAUUUUUGGUUGUGUUUUGGAUAAUGGGUUUUGCGUUUUGUUCAUGGGUUUUGUACAGAGUAUUGAUUUAGUGUACAGAGUAUUGAUUUAGACCCUUAUGUUGAUUUCUUGGAAAUUUAGCGUCAACUCGGUAAUACGGGGUUUUAUCUUUUCUCAUUCACUUUUUUGCUCUUCUGGUUUCUUCUAUUUUGGUUUCUUGAUUCUUUACUUGUUAUGUGAUGUUCUUUGUUGGCAAAAAGCUGGUUGCUUCGAUGAGUCCAUCUCCGGAAUUAAAUUAUCUUUGGAAUCUGUUUGAUUUUGCAAACGUCGUCGGUUUGAAUCUUUGAAAUCUGUUUGGGUUGGUAGGAAGAGAUUCAACUCUGGGGUUUUUUUAAUUUUGAGUGGAGAUUGAAAAUCCAGAAAUCAAAAUUUGGACUUUUUACGAAUUUUGAUUCGAAUCUUCUGAUUUGUAUUGUCUUAGAAAAACCCAUUAAUCUGAAUGCAAGCUUUUUACUUUGUAUGCUAUCUCUCUCUAAAUCUGGAAUUUCUAUAAUCUUUGGUAUGCAUCUUCUUAUUUACUAGGUCCAAUUUAUGAGUUUGAAUUUAAGGCACGGUUUGGAAAUUUGGAAUUAAAAGUUCAUAAAUUUGAAUUUAGUGCUUGUUAGUUAUAGAACAUUAGUUUGAAUGCAAUUACCGUUUGGUGCUUGUUGGUUCUUUUUUCUGCUAUAUUUUAGACUUUUAGGAAUUUAAGUUCUAAGCAUUUUCUCGUUCCUUUUAUGUCAACAGAUUUAACAAGUGCUUUUGGUGUUGUUUAAACACUUUUUGGAGGAUUCCUUUUCGUCUUUGUGUGUAUAGAGUUGGUGAAUAAUGAUGCCAUUAUACGGAUACAUGGAUUCAAACCCCUACCAAAGAAACCAAACUUUCUCUUUCCCUCAGUAUCAUAAUCCUUAGGAACUCAUUUGUCAUGGUUUUUUAAUCCUCAGUAAUUACUUAAUAAGAAAACACUGAGGCUAUUACAUUCCUAUCCAUUUACACAGUAUAUUUGUUUAUGGUUAGUGCAGAUGGAUAUUGAUGAAGAGAACAUUGAGGCCACGGAAAUGUCAACAGUCAAUCUAAGUGAUACGCAAGGUACAAAAAGUGCACCAAGUCCUUCAAAGAGAAAGGCUAAAGGUAUGCGAGUAGGUAAGAUACGUCAAAAGAGAUCCCGUGUUUGGACUUUGUUUGAAGAAUUGCCUGUGGAAGGCCGUAAUUCACCUGAAAAAUGGACGCAAAACCGUUGGGAAUGUCGAUGGAACUCGGGUUGGGUCGAAAUGGAGGAUUGGGUAAGGGAUCCAGUGAGUCUCUCCUCUCUCCCUUCCUCUCCUUUCUUUUCUUUGCCAUUGGCCCCUUCAUUUUCCUCUCUCCCCUCUCAUUAGCCGAGACCUCUCCCCUUUCCUCCUUUUCUUUUCUUUUCCUCCCUCUAUCUCUCUCCUUUCUCUCCUCAACUCUCCAUCCUGGGCACCCUCAUGGCAUUUCCCCCCACCGCUCCAAAAUUGCUAGAGCCUUCUAGAUGAGAGCCAAUUUACAAUAAUACCCCCUAACUUUAAACGUUAAUAACUCUCUCGUUAUAACUAUGUUUCAUGAACGGUCUGCGCCUACGCAUUUCUGAGAUCGAGCUCUAUUCAAAAAUAUAAAUUGUGACCUCAAAUGGUCUAUGAAUUUUAAAUAAUUAAUUUCCAAACUUCAAGCCUCGUAACUACUGUAAUAAAAAUCUAAAUUCAAACAAAUUAAAAUAAAUUCUUGAACAAUAAUACAAAUCUCAAUAAUUCAAAUACGUAAAUCAUAACAGUGAAAUCUAGGAACAAGAUUUCACAUGAAUUGUGAUUCAAUUAUAACAACAUAUUACCACUUUUUUCACUUCUUUGGUCAUCCUUUAUAUAUUGGAUGAAGCUUCAAAUAGUUCUACCAAACAAGCCCCAAAUUCUUUCUGGUAAUUGAGAUUAGUCUCUGAUUGUUUGAUGAUGCUCUAUAUAUUUGAUGAAGCUUCAACUAGCUUCUACUAGACAACCCCUGAUUUCUUUAUAGUAAUAGAGCUUCAUCUCUAAUUGUUUAUUGUCUGAUUAGAUUAUUAUAAUAUUUGGGUUGUUGGAUAUGUUGGGUUUGAACUGAGUUUUUGUUUUCGUAUUUCAGAUUGAUGGAUUUUUGAAUGAAAUGCACUCAACCCUAAAUUCCAGUGGGGGUGGCUGAAGCAGUUGUCCGAUAUGACAAAUGGCAGCCAAGGUUCCCUAAAUUGCCCAUUCCUUUAAUUUUAUGAAGUAUGACAAUUUGAUAUAUAUAUAUAUAUAUAUAUAUGUAUGUAUGUAUAUAUAUGUAUGUAUGUAUGUAUGUAUGUAUGUAGAGAACUUACACCUCUUGACAGAUUGUGUUGCUAGAUAGUCUUUCACGUACCUGAUUAAAAUAAAGUUCAUCAUGUUAUUCUAUCCAAAUAUUGAUUUGUUACAACGUUAUGUAAAUACUUUUUACACACCAUUUUUAUAACACAUUUAGUCCUGUAUUUGAAGACUUAUAUACAAUACUUAUAAUUCGUUGGACAUUCCGCGGCAACGCACGGGCUAAAUCCCUAGUCACUACUAUAUUGUACAACUGCAGUUGGUUGGGGAAAAAAAAGAUGAGAAUUGGGAAAGGCCACACAGGAAUAUGUCCGCAAUUUGUCUCCACCCCUAAAGCAUCAAUUCAUUUUACUUGUAAAUACGCACUUGAUUGUUUCCCCUCCCUUUUCCCGGUUCAAGUUUUUCAUUGUCGCCAUUUGCAAAUGAUAGAUACAGGUUCCAAACUGAAGUUCGAUAGUACAACACAACACACGAGCUGGGGUCCAAACAUUAAUUCGAAACAACACAAAUAAAACAAAUCAAAUCGCAUAUUGCAGUAUAUAACAAUUACUCUAUUCUAAAUUUGGAGAGGAGUGGUACGCUUGGCUAUAAGUGCAACUGAGGGGAGAAUUUGGUAGUACGAAAUUACCAUUUUUUAAUGUAGAUAUGAGCUAUGGUGUGGAUUUGUGGGUUUGGGGCUACAUGAGUUAUGGUGUGAAUUUGUGGGAUUGGUCUGUCAUGUUCCUUAACUAGAGUAAUGCUUUUACCAAUUUAGGCCCGUACUAGGUCUGGUUUAAUUAAUUGUGGCUCAUUUAAACAUAUCUGCUUUUUAUUUAUGGUCAAUGGUUACAUUAGUACGGGCAAGUUCAUUUUCAUAUUAUGGCAAUGAUUUAAAGCAAUGUUAAAAAAUUAGUGGAUGGAAUGCCACUUACUUGUAUUAUUGUUGAAAAUAAACGUAUUUCUUUUUAAAUAUUGCUUUAAUUUCAUUUUGAUGAGAGAAUAAACAAGAUUUCUUUUUCUUAUUCUUUUUCUUGCACAUAUAUAUAGUAUUAAAACUUUUAGUAUAUUUCUUUAUUUACAUGAUAAAUUUUUUGACCUGCCGCAGCGCAGCAUGAUACUUGUGAGAUCCAAAGCGCACAGUUCAUGGACUACUGCUUUUAUUGACUAGCAAAUCUUUAUUGCAAUGCAUACGACUUCAGUACUACAGGCAAAUUGAAGGGUCAUAUAUCUAAUUCUGUAAUUCAGCCUCUUCAGCACCAGCUACUAGUUUUCCGUGAUGGCCGGGCCCAUGCCUGUGUUCCCAAUGUCCGUGGCCGUGCCCGGGCUCCCAAUGGCCGUGGCCAUACCCGUGCUGCUUCCAAUGUCCGUGGCCAAACCCGUGCUGCUUCCAAUGUCCGUGGCCAUGCUCUCCAUGUCUAUAGCCUCCAUAUCCGUAGCCUCCGUGUCCAAAGCCUCCAAGUCCAUAGCCGUGCUCAUGCUUUCCAUGUUUGUGCUCGUAGCCAUGUCCAUAGCCAUGCUCAUGCCCUCCAUGUCCGUGCCCGUAUCCAUGUUUAUGCUCGUAUCCGUUAUAAUGGUCACCAUAGGUAGACUUUUCAACGCUCUCCUCUUGAAAAAGAAAACAAUUAAGUUGGAUAUCAAAAACUGAAAAUUAAGCCUUGUAAGUGCAGUAGCAGUAACUACCGAUGCAUGCAAAGUGACUAACCAUCCGGAUGUUCCCAAGUUACUCGUUUUCCCAACAAAAAAUGUUUAAGUUCGAGAAGAAAACAGGUGGGAAACUAAGGUCAAAAUUCGUAGCAUGCAUCUUAAAACCUGCUAUGCAUGAUGAAUAAAAUGUGCCUAGCAAAAUUUACAAAUGCGUAAUCGAAUAAAAGAAACAAGAAUUAAUUUUAAUUGAGAAAGCGAGAAACUCACGGGUUUGAGUAGGAGCAGUCUCAGUCAGCUCCCGAGCGGAAACCUCAGAGAAGAUAAGGAGAACAGCAAAGACAAGACCCAGUAGAAGAAAAGUUUUUGAGGACGCCAUGUUUGCAUAUAAUUAACCAAAUGAGGUGAUGGGAUAGAAUGAUGAAGGUAAGAGAUGAUCGCAGAGGGAAGUGAAUAUCAUGUGUUUUGGAUUUCUCUAUUUAUAGACCUUCAAAGUUAAGAGAAGGAGAGGGUAGAUCUUUGGACACCCACAUUUUUUCACAGUAGAGUGGUAAACGAAAAAUAUUUUUUACCUAAUACAUAUCAAAUUCCCUCGAGUAGUUGGAACUCUAUCAAAGCAUGCUUUGUUUGGUUUGAUGAUCUGUUGAUACCACUACGUAUUAAGUAAGAAAUGAGCCAUCUAACCUAGCUAGUAGGUCAUAAAAAUUUGUUUCUACGCAAUAUGCGGCAAUGUGGUCAUAGUUGUAGAUGCCUUUUGCUAAUUAUGUGAAAAAUGUAAUUAAGCACCAUUAACUAAGCCAAAAAGAAAUUGGUUUUCAGUUGUGAUUCCUUAGAAUAAUAAAUUGAUAUUGUAUAUGAUCAACAACUAAGUCAAAAUAAGUAGUUUGUCAUGACUAACAGUUUAAGAUGGCAUUUCAGGGGAUAUAUCUACAUUUGUAGACGGAUGUACUUUAGUUUAUAUCUGAAUCCAUUUACAAUUGGACUACCAGAUCCUGCCCGUAUUUGGCUUGUUAGAUUUAACUUGAUCCAUAUAAAAUAAGCAUCAGAUUUGGAUCAAAUAUAACUUAAGACCAAUUUUUUUUAGAACAUCAUCAUCAUCAACAACAUUCUUCUUCAUUCUUAAUUUCAUGGUGUAUACUAAUUUAUGGUGGAAUACAUAUGAACAACGCUCAAACUUCAAGUCAAUAUUCUUCAUUUCAAAUUUUGCCUUCAAGUACAAGGUAGUUUUACAAGGCUAUUUUAGAGUCCAAUUUAGUUCAUAUCAAUGAUACGGAAUACAACCCUAGCAACACUAGACUAUGACUUCUUAAAGAGUGUAGGAAGUCAAGGACAAAAUGGUCAAUUGAUUAUUUUCUAGAAGGCUCCAGAUUUCUGGAGUAAAGAAUUGUUAUGCCACGUGUGUAGUUGAGUUGGAAAAGAAAUGCGAGUUAAGGAGGGUGCAGACCAAUCAGAAGAAGGAGGUGAGGAGAUGACCAAUGAGAGAUGAGAGAAAGCAGAGAAAAGAGAAGAGUAAGGUCCAAUCGGAAAAGAAGUGAAAGAGAGAGUGACCAACCAGAGAGGGAAGAAAGGAGGGAAAGGAGGGAAAGGAGAAGGAGAGGAACUCGGUCCUUUCCUCUUGACCCGUGACCCCGUUUCAAACCCGGUACCUUACGUGAGAUUUUGCCAUUUCCUUCGGCGAUUUUUUGACUAAUUUCACCAGGCCCCCACCUGGAAACUUCUCACCAGCUGUUCUUCUUUAAUUUUCCACUCCAAUUCGAUGGGAUUUGGCCUCGUUUCAUGUUGUACAAUGACGGCAACCCCGUGAGUCCGUAGGUGGCGAUCCGCCAUUUCUGAAUGCAAUCUCAUCAAUCUUCACCAUCAUUAGACUCUUCUUGAGGCUUGGAACAAAGCACAAACAAUUGAAGGGGUGGCAAAGCACCGGAGGUGAUGGAUCGAAGCCAUCCAUUUCUAGGGUUUCCGACAAGUUUGAGUGCAAUUGGGGAUUUUCCCAGCCAAAUUGGACUUAUCCACUGGUAUAAACCUUGCGCUACUCAUUGAGAUCUUCAUU